ACGCAACUGGAGUAAGGGUGGAUAUACGUUAUUUGUGAAUCUGUGAUUGUGAUAGUUCAGUGCUCUCGGAAUCCAACCAGACCCCUAAUGGUUACUGCGGUAUUGGUGAAUCUGUGAUUGUGAUAGUUCAGUACCCUGAAUCCGACUGGGCCCAAAAGACAUAUUUGUGCGUUAGGAAAGGCCCAAACUGUGGCUGCUCUGUGGUAACCUGGAGAUAAUACAGGCUGUAAAGCUUUUUAUUCCUGCCUGCUCUGGUUGCUGAGUGGUUCAGUGCGUGUACCAGAUCCUUUAUCUCCAAAUGAUGUUCGUAUCUUGUCGGGUUUCAUCUGUGAAAUGCCCUGAGGUUUGCUGUUUUCUACAGAGGGGAGAUGUUAAUUAGUCUUAGACGUGUAUUAAGCUGUGUUACGGAGAUGUUGGGUGUCUUUUUCUGAUGGUUUGUUGAAGAAACUCUUCCCAAUAACCGGUUGUAUUCCUGGCUCUGGUGGCCCUUGGAGCUUCUUGAGCAUCACCAGACUGGAAGUGCCACCAUUCCUCUUCCCUCAGCACUCCGAGGCAGCAAGGAGCAAAGUGACAGCCCUCAGAGGGUUAUUUCUGGAAGGACAGAGGACCCAAAAACCACAAAGGAGUUUGCUGCGAGCUCUUAUCUGCCAGGAGGCCAGGAAGGUGGCAGAGCAGAGGGCAUCACCCAGCUGUGGCCAGGCCAUAAAAACUGCAUGCUGUUUGGAACAUGGCUGGGAAGAAACAAUUAUUUUUUAACUACAGCAGAAGCCGUAGGGUCUGAGCACUUCUGGGAGCUCUGGUGUGAGUAACAAUCAGCUUCAGCCCGAGCGCUUGGCUUGAGAGAGCAGCUGCAGCUGCUCUGGAGGUUCCCUGUAUGGUCUGCACUGUUAAAUCAGCUUUUUUUUAUCACAUUCAAUCUGCAUAUCUGCCAUAAAAUAGCGUACCUAAAGGAACGUCAUCAUUUCCAAUUCAGAAUUAGUGCAGAAACAUAACGAAAUACUGACUUCGGAAUGGGUAGUAGCUGAAAAGAAGAAUGGAGUCAGCAGCAGUUAACUCUCCUAGAGCAGUUGGGAAGCAUCAACCCAUCCCUUUGAGAUGUUAAUGGAAAAUAGCAUGCACUGGUGAGGAUGAAGAGGCAACGCGACUGGAGCAGUAGAAACUGAACUGCAAGGUGGCCAGCUCUCCUCACACAUGAUAAGAAGGAAAAAGUGUGGGAGGAGAAUGGUAGGCUUAAUUGUGGCAAUUACCAUGUCCUGAGCAGUGCUCAUUAAUUACUGCCAUGCUGUUCUAAAUAGUCUAAACUCUCAGAACACUCUAGAAUAGCAGUCACUGGUGGUCCAUGACCAACACCAGGUAAUGUGCUGAGGUCUGUGCUGUGCCUUGUUUUUCUUUUUGCUGAUCUCAGUUAUGAUUUCUUGUACCUGUGAGCUCUGGAGGACCUUGAAAGCAGAAGGUUAAUGUUUACUCUCUAAACAAACAAACAAACAAAAAAAACCUCUCACCUUCGUCUCCUACCCCAAAGCGCCCUGUAGGAGAUGCUGUUACCUCUUGUUUCCUGUAGAACGUGCAGAAGCAGGUCAGCAAUCAAGAACCACAUAAUUCUGCAAUGAUGGAAGUGAAGAAAUAUUUUCAUCAUUAAACCAAGUCUUAAAUCAACAGCUGUGUGAUUUGUGAAAGCAAUUUUAUAAAUCACACUGAAUAAUUUGAUCUCAUUGUACUAUUUUAAUGUUUCUUUAACUUUUUUUUUGAUAUUUUUCUUGUGUACUAGUGUAUCAUCUGAAUCGGUUUACCAGUAAUUUGCACUUGGUGUGUGAUAACUGCACUUGCUUCACCUUUUGCUUUUUGAAAUCUUGUGGUUUUGUGUGUUCUUAAAGUCUUGCUUCUGUCAGAUUGAGUAGAUAAACGUUGUUAAAAAAGGAA